UACGUAGGGUGCAAGCAUUAAUCGGAUUUAUUGGGCGUGAAGGGGGCGCAGGCGGCAAAGUAAGUCGGAUGUGAAAUCUCGGGGCUCAACCCCGAACACGCAUUCGAAACUACUUUACUAGAGGAUAGGCGGAGAAAACGGAAUUCCACAUGUAGCGGUGAAAUGCGUAGAUAUGUGGAAGAACACCUGUGGCGAAAGCGGUUUUCUAGCUUAUUCCUGACGCUCAUGCCCGAAAGCUAGGGGAGCAAACAGG
rnacentral:rRNA from 1 species